rnacentral:sRNA from 1 species
GGCUGCGUGGAUAAAACCCAAAGGGAAUCCAGAAUCAAGCUCGGCCUCGCAGGAGUUUAUAACUUUUGUACUUUUCCCUCCCUUGUAACGAAAAGCUAAUCGCAAACGUUUCUAGGAACACAUUUUUCUCCUGAUAGACGUUCCCAAGGUGGAGGGCGCGAGAAGACUGGCCCGUGGGGUGAGGAGCCCCGGCCCGACCUCAGCGGCGCCACAAAGCGGGCUCCAAACCAUGAAGAGGGGAAAUAAUUUUCCAAGGGGCUAAGAGUUGGACUUUUUGAAGCCAUCGAAACCUGCUGCUAGGCUCUCCCGCUGGGGUUUUGAGAGAGGUAGGUGAGGAGGGAUCAAACAUCUCCACCCACUCUUGAAAGAACCGCCUUGAGCUGCGCCCAACUUCUGCAAUCCCGGUUUUCCCCAAGUUCAAGGGGAAGGGCCCUGGCGCCCAAUGCCCAGCCUCCCCCGACAACAUCCUCGCCAGGGUGCGCCUGCCCCGCGGGUCCGCUGUCCCCGGCGGGCGGCCCUGGGUUCGAGGACCCGGCUUCCCGGAGGCGCGACUCUCUAGCAAACGAGCGGAGCUCCAGAAAAAACACCGACGCGAAGGGGGUGGACAGAGGGUGGGAAGCCGCGGGGUUGUCGCCCACCCGGAGGCGGAAUGUAACGCGCUGUGGCAGGAGCCCUGAGGCGGCGUCUUUUUCCUCAGGCGCCCGCCGAGGGUCCCGCGGAAAGCCUCGCGGGCCGCCCUCGCGGCCCGCAGCCCCGCUCUGGCGCCGAGCCGGAGCCCAUGCAACCUGGUUCCAUCCCCUGCCCCUCCCCUGUCCCCGGUGCGCCGCCCGCCAGCGAGCCUUCGACGUGGCCGCAGGGGCGACGGGACCACCCUCCCCCGAUACCCACAGCCCCGCCAUGUCUGCCUUUCCCCGGCCCGGUCUCCUCACCGCCGCUGCCGCCGCCGCUCUCCGGCCGGAGAUUCGGCGGCCCAGACCGUGUCCUGGCCGGGAACUGAGGGCUCCGCCUCAACGGGCCCGCGCUGGGCAACAGGGAGCGCAGCGAGCCUCGUCCGGCGCGUGCGGCUCCCGCGUCGUCGGGCGGCCAAGCGCGCGUUGAGAGGACUGGCGGGCGGACGAGCGCGCACACGAGUGAGCGCAGCCCCAAAGCGGCGCGCAGGGGGCUCGCGGCCCGGAAGAGGGGAGGGGCGAUGACCCGGGAAAGGGUUGGCGCCGCGCGGGAUCGGCUCGCGCGCCUGAGGGGCGGUGCCGGGGGCGGGGCUUCGCCGCGAGGCCACCCCGGAGCCCCGGGCCUAGCCGCACGGGAGGCGACACAUCCUCACCCUGCCCUGAGCCUGGCGCAGACCCUCGACCGCGACGGCGCGGUCCGCAGAACCGCGGGCUACCCUCCCCGGCAAAAAGCGGCGCUGAGGGCCUGUGGGACCCCCCGCCCGGCCGCCCUACGUGCGUCAGCGCCUUCGGGGGUCGCGCGGGCUUGGUCCUUUCGGCUGUCUCGGCCUUUUUGUUUCCCCCUCAGGUCUCUCCACGCUGCACUUGACACCCUCAGGGCGGGAUGGCGAGUUCUAGACCCAGCUCUCUAGACCCGGGGCUUCAUGGGGGACACGGACUCGACGGGAAGGGGAACUUGGCAUUUAUGGACAGAUCCUCAUCCUUCUUGCUGUAGUCAAUUACACGCACGUUAACCGUGCAGCCGCCCUGCUGUAUUUUAGGCGGUUGUUGGCACUCCUAGUUGGGCCCUUCCCGGGCCCCUCACAGCAGGGCCUGCCUCCUGUGGACGCUUGUGUGCUGCCCUGGCACCGGCCACUGUGUUUUGCAUAAAGGAGAGGCUCCAAAGAUGUUGGCCAAAGGAAUGAAGCCUUCAGAGUCCAGGCUUUCUAUUUCUGAGACACUCUACUCAAGGACUUCCCAGAUGCAAAGCUUCAUCUUUGAGCAAAUACAAAUAUGGAGAGGGAACAUUAACUUUCUGAAGAAAAGAAGGAACAUCUUUUCAACCUUUUAUAUUGAGUUAGCACCAUGGUCUUAGUUUUGUGAAAGCACUUUAAUACAUCCAACUAGCGGGAGGAAUACAAGAUAUUCCUACCUUUUUAUUAUUAUUAUUAAAAGAGGGCUAAACCAUGUUGUAAACUACUUAAGAACUGAAUGUUCAAGUUGUACAGUAUAUUGGCCAGAUUCCUUACUGCCCACUAGGCUUGGGAGCAUGUUUUCAGCUCAGUUUUAUGAAUGUUUUAAAUUUGUAUUACUGAUCUUUGUUAUAGCCAAUUAGCAAUUCAAAAUGGUAAUUUUUUUAGCAGUAAUAAAUAUACCAUCCCCCAAACAGUACAAUAAACUUUAUUUGUAAAAAAAAAAAAAA